UAUCUCUCUCUAGGGCAUCUUUCUAUCAGCAAUAUGCCGUCAUUCACAAAGGUUGUAUGGGAGACUUUGCUAGAACCUGUAGUUCAAGAUUAUCACAAGUGUUUUUUCAAAUCCGAUGUUGUAGCCGGUAAUGAAGAGAGGGAGGAUGUUAGAUCGACGAAACAUAUAUACAUAUCACCUGCUCUGUAUGCGACUCCGCAGCCGACUCCGAUUCCGGAUUGUACCUCCGAUCCGUCAUCGCCUUGACCAUACAUCGUUAACCAUAAGAGACGCGGAGAAUCAAAUGAUGCGGUUAUGCUCGAAGAAUCGUUCGAUCAGGAAUUUCUAGGGCUAAUCAGUUGAGAGCAUAUGCGAAUUCAUUUUUGUCUCGAUAUGAACCUCUGGCUCUGUUUCUUGCUUUUCCUUUCUCCCUUGUUGUUGGUUGGUUCCUUCGAUCUGUGGGUCCUUCUGUUCACGAGAAAGGGAUAAAGACCACUGUUUUAGGGUUCAUAAUGUGUUCCAUCAAAUUUGUACCUGGCUUGAAGAAUUACAUCGAUGCUGAGAAAAAGAAGGUGGAUCAUUGUAGAACUGCUUUCUUUUUUAAUUGCUUAGAAAGUUUAAAAGGAAUAUAUUUCAUUGCUGGAUUUACUGCCCUAUUUGGAAAUGAAUUUGAUUUGUUUAUUUUUGCUUAGACAAUAGUCUCAAAUUAAAAUCGAAUACACAAAUCUUUAUUAUAAAAUUGAGAUAAAUGAAGGAAAAAAUAACAGCCCUAACUAAUGAUUGAAAGGAUGGGAAUCUUGGGAUACAUUCUUCUGUCCUUGAGCCAAAAAAAAAAGUACCAAUUAUCCCAGUCGAACUGUUUUAGAAAAAAAUGUGUCAGGCUCAAGCAUUCUACUAAAGAGUGUAUAACUACUUGGGGCAACCGUAUUCAUGAUAGUGGUCUUGGCAAUUAAAUGCUGUUGACGUUCUAGUCUCUUGUGGCCGGAUACCAUUUAAGAGGUUGUGCAUGUAAGAUAAUAUAUAAAUAUGUACAUAUUAUAUAUAUACCUAUAGGCUAUAGCCUGUAGGAAUGAAUAAAUAAUUAAAUCCUUGUAGUAAAAAUAAAAUACAAUUAUUGCAGAUACCUGAUACAUGGAGUGCUAUAUUUGGCAGUUGACUUUGUAAUAGAGAAACUUAAGCUGAUAAUAUUUGCAUCUAGAAAAAUACUUCAGAAAGCCUAACUCUGAUACUUAUCUCAUGGAUUUUUUGUUGCUGCAAAAAACUCUUGGUGGAUUUUCUAUGUGUUCUUUAGUGAUGGUCCUUAUUGGAGUAUGUAUUUGCUUGGUUUAAACUUGCACAUCCUACCUUCUGUUAUCCACUUUUCCAUUGAUCAUGCAAUGAAUGACCAAGAUCUUAUCUCAAUUUUCUGUUUUUCCAUGAGAACUUAGAUCAUUUAACUUUCUUGAACUCAAAGCCCAUACUGUCAUUACUUAGUAAUCACUGUAUAAUUAUUGUGAUGAUUUACCUAAGUAAAGACCUUCUCUUAUCCACUGAGAGUAUUGUCUUCUUCUUCUUUAGUUUCUAAUUAUUCUUUGACUUAUAGAAUAUCCGGAGCACUAAAAUACUCAGAUACUUUAUUAAUUUCUAUUAAUCUU